GGAGUGUAGCUCAGUGGUACAGCAUCUGCCUUUCAUGCAAAAGGUCCUGGGUUCAACCCCCAGCAUCUCCA